GUUGGGAUCAGGCCUCCAUUGCAACAGACCAAUGAUGCAGGAGAAGUUGGUGACGGCAGCUGAAGAGACAACAGCUUCACAGAUCAGAUGAAUGGAAUGGAGGCGUUCACACCAAACGCAAUAGGCGCAAAUUGAACGUUGUCAGGUGUGUUUACCCAGGAGGAAGAGAGCAGCUCUGCCCGUGUACUGAGCCAGUCGGCCAAAGAUGUAGGAGCACACAGAGUUUACGGCUGCGAAACACAUCAUGGCAAAUCCAACAUAGUGGAUCCCCAGGGCACAGGUCACGAAGUUCUGCACAAACACAAACGGAAGCUCUGCUCAAAGCCGCUGUACAUGGUGAGCGGAAUCAGCGUCAGCAUCCUCCAGUCCCUCAGGAGUGCAAACGUGGCCAGGAAGGUCUGACAGAACGGUUCCCGGUUCUCACGGAACUGACUGGCCUGCUCUCG